GAUCAGAGGGCAGAGGACUCUUACAAAUAAAACAAGCAGUCAAAGAAGAAGAACAUGCCCUGGCAGAAUAUGUAAAGCAAAGUGAAGGACCUGCUUUGAUUGAAGUCAAAAAUCAGAAACUCCUCAAAGCAAAGCAGACAAAAAAACCAGUACAAGAAAGCCACACUACAAACUAGAGCUGACAGCUGGCACAACAAAACACUGCAUGGAAAGUUCCUUGACAAAAUUGAAGGAAAAGCUGAUAAGGAGAAGACCUGGCUAUGGCUCAUGAAUGGGACCCUGAAGAAGGAGACAGAAGGCCUGAUCCUUGCAGCCCAGGAGCAAGCCAUCAGAACAAAUGCAAUUAAGGCCAAGAUCGAAAAAUCAGCUGAUGACCCAAAAUGCAGUCUGUGCGAUUUUCUUACAGCAGCUAUGAUCAAUGGUUUUGUCAGCUUCCUUGCACAGUCUGCAUUUUGGGUCAUCAGCUGAUUUUUUUGAUCUUGGCCUUAAUUGCAUUUGUUCUGAUGGCUUGCUCUUGGGCUGCAAGGAUCAGGCCUUCUGUCUCCUUCUUCAGGGUCCCAUUUGUGAGCCAUAGACAGGUCUUCUCCUUAUCAGCUUUUCCUUCAAUUUUGUCAAGUAACUUUCCAUGCAAUGUUUUGUUGUCCCAGCAGUGAGCUCUAGUUUGUAGUGCGGGUUUCUUGUACUGAUUCUUUGUCUGCUGUGUUUUGAAGAGUUUCUGAUUUUUGACUUCAAUCAAAGCAGAUUCUUCACUUUGCUUUACAUAUUCUGCCAGGGCAUGUUCUUCUUCUUUGACUGCUUGUUUUACUUGUAAGAGUCCUCUGCCCCCUGAUCCUCUAGGCAGAUAUAGCCGGUCAACAUCACUGCGGGGGUGCAGUGAAUGAUGAAUGGUCAUGAGUUUUCUUGUUUUUCUGUCCAAACUGUCCAGUUCCGCCUGUGUCCAGUUUAUGAUGCCAGCAGUAUAUCUUAUGACAGGUAUGGCCCAGGUGUUUAUGGCCUUGACGGUGUUGCCUCCAUUGAGCUUGCUUUUGAGAAUUUUUCUGACCCUUUGUGUGUAUUCUUUGCUGACCACAGUUUUCACAUGUUCAUGCUUGAUGUUGUCUAGCUGUAAUAUGUCCAGAUAUUUAUAGGCCUCUGGUUGGUGACACUUUAUGGCCAUUAGGCAUAUUUAUGCCCUCACUUUCAAAGAUUUUUCCUUUCUUUAUGCCACUGUCGAACAUUUGUCCAAACCAAACUCCAUGCUGAUAUCAGUGCUAAAAAUUCGGCCAGUGUUAGUCAGAGACUGGAUUUCAGUUUUCGUUUUCCCAUAGAGCUUCAGGUCAUCCAUGUACAUCAGAUGCGAAAUUUUGUGAGAUUUCUUAGAUGUUUGAUAGCCGAGAUUUGUUUUUUGUAAGAUUGUUGACAGAGGGAUCAUGGCAAUAAUGAAAAGCAGAGGGGACAAUGAGUCUCCCUGGAAAAUUCCUCUCCUGAUGCUGACAAGUCUAUAGCUUUCAUUUCCAAGAAACAGUUCAGUUUUCCAGUGCUCCAUCGUGUUUUCAAUAAAGGUGCCAAAGUUUUUACUAAUCCCGAUGGUGUCCAGACACUUGAUGAUCCAGCUGUGUGGGAGUGAGUCAAAUGCCUUUUUGUAGUCAAUCCACGUCAUGUGAAGAUUAGCUCUUACAGUUCUUCAGAAUCAUUUUGUUAAUUAAUAACUGGUCUUUUGUGCCUCUGCUUUUCCGUUUGUUGCCUUUCUGUUCAUCUGGCAAGAUGUUUUUUCUUCAAGAUAGUCUUGAAUUCUGUCAGCUAUGAUGCCAGUCAGUAGUUUAAACAUAGUGGGCAGACAUGUUAUUGGCCUGUAGUUUCCUGGUGCUGCUCCUUUUGCUGGAUCCUUUUGUAUCAGGUAUGUUUUUCCAGUUAAUGUCAAAAAGAUAAACAAACACUAUAAAGGUUCAAAACAUAAAAAGAGAUGUGUAUAUUAGAGCAUCUUGCAAAGGCCACAGAAAUAGUCAGGCCUCUCUGAGUAUAGAGCUAUUUUCCUUCUAUGUAAAAAGGAUAAACAUAAGUUGCACUAUGUAAUUCAGAGCACCAUAUACAUACAAUAUUACCUGAGAGUUAACAACAAUAAUGAAAAUAAUAAGUACAGUCAACUGUUAUAAUCCACAGUAGUAUCUUCCAGACUGUAAUAGUCUCCACUAUUUAAACAUCAAUUGAAUUUAGCAACCAAAAUAAUAUAAACACAUUCAACCUUUGCAAAAUAAUAUUGGUUAAUAUAUCUUUUAAGACUUUACAGGUAUUGAAAAGUUUGUUCCAAAAAAAAUCUUGACCAAAAGUUCUUUUGAUUCUUUGAGAUCCUGUGUUGAUGACAUCAAAUGUAUAGCAUAUCUCUUGAAAUUACAGUCUAUUGGAAGUAAGUUCAGUUUCUCAAGAGCAAGAUCCCAAGUCUGGGGAACAAACUAUGCAUGAAUGUUGAUUCUGAGUAGUUGUCAAAAAGAGCCCCAGCUAGGAGAACACAAUGCUGUUUCUAGGUAGCUGGCUGUAGAUUGCAAUAGUCCGUUCACUACUGGCUCCCAGGUUUACUCCAGUUUCGGUUGUCCUUCUUCUGGUAAGCCGCAAUGGAUAAGCAGCAAAUAGUUUUCAAUUUGUAUAUUGUUGGCUCUGUUUCAGUAUAUCUUUAAGUAUUGUGCUCUUUAUAAUAUAAGAUAUAAUUUAUAUAGACCAAGUGAAAAUAGACAUAUCAAAGCAUGCUACAUUAAGAGUUACAAAACAAAGGUUUUUCAUACCAGGCAUAGUAGUUACUAUCUCCUUACAAAUUCGCAGUGUCAGUUUGCUGAAAUGUGUUUUGGUUGAUUUUUUGGUCUAACAAGCUCAGGGAAUUCUCGCAGCAGGUUAAAUCCUUUAAACUCAAGAAAUUCCAAAGA
rnacentral:lncRNA from 1 species